rnacentral:rRNA from 1 species
UGGAGAGUUUGAUCCUGGCUCAGAUUGAACGCUGGCGGCAGGCCUAACACAUGCAAGUCGAACGGUAGCAGGGAGAAGCUUGCUUCUUGGGUGACGAGUGGCGGACGGGUGAGUAAUGUCUGGGAAACUGCCCGAUGGAGGGGGAUAACUACUGGAAACGGUAGCUAAUACCGCAUAACGUCUUCGGACCAAAGUGGGGGACCUUCGGGCCUCACGCCAUCGGAUGUGCCCAGAUGGGAUUAGCUAGUAGGUGGGGUAACGGCUCACCUAGGCGACGAUCCCUAGCUGGUCUGAGAGGAUGACCAGCCACACUGGAACUGAGACACGGUCCAGACUCCUACGGGAGGCAGCAGUGGGGAAUAUUGCACAAUGGGCGCAAGCCUGAUGCAGCCAUGCCGCGUGUAUGAAGAAGGCCUUCGGGUUGUAAAGUACUUUCAGCGGGGAGGAAGGCGAUGCGGUUAAUAACCGCGUCGAUUGACGUUACCCGCAGAAGAAGCACCGGCUAACUCCGUGCCAGCAGCCGCGGUA